AAACGUGCUGCACUUUGUUCCUCUUUCCUUCGCCACUUUCUGCAGGACUGCACAAAGAGCUAAAGCCUCCACUUUCAUGGCAGAAUCGGCGUCGAUUUCUUUUGCAAAACCAUCUCUGAGGACCCCGUUCUCAUCCCUACAGAUCCCGGCGACUGUUCCCUUGCUCUGGUCUUCCGUCCACGAAGCAUCAACGUUAAAGUUGAAAGAUCCCUUUCCUGGCGAAGCCCAUUUUGCAGGUUCGUCUGUGCGGUUUUUGCUGCACUUUUGUUUCUUGGGGUUCCAUAUGUUGUAAAGCUCCAGAUCUGCUUUUGCUUCGUGCACAGCUUCGCAAGGUCGCAGUUGUUCGCCUUUGAAGACUACUGCGUUCCUCAACUUCCAGAUCUGCCAUAGAACGUCGCCUACUA
rnacentral:lncRNA from 1 species